CUACAAGGAUUCCCUAGUAACUGCGAGUGAAGCGGGAAGAGCUCAAAUUUGGAAUCUGGCGGCCCCUGUGGCCGUCCGAGUUGUAAUCUAGAGAAGUGCUUAUCCGCGCUGGACCGUGUACAAGUCUCCUGGAAUGGAGCGUCGCAGAGGGUGAGAAUCCCGUCUCUGACACGGACUGCCAGGGCUCCAUGUGAUGCGCUCUCGAAGAGUCGAGUUGUUUGGGAAUGCAGCUCAAAACGGGUGGUAAAUUCCAUCUAAAGCUAAAUAUUGGCGAGAGACCGAUAGCGAACAAGUACCGUGAGGGAAAGAUGAAAAGAACUUUGGAAAGAGAGUUAAACAGUACGUGAAAUUGUUGAAAGGGAAACGCUUGAAGUCAGUCAUGUCGUCCGGGAAUCAACCUUUGCCUUCUCUUGGGCUGGGUGCACUUUCUGGUUCGACAGGUCAGCAUCAAUUUUGACCGCCGGACAAAGUCCAGGGGAAUGUGGCAUCCUCGGAUGUGUUUUAUAGCCCUUGGUCGCAUACGGCGGUUGGGAUUGAGGAACGAUCAGCACGCCGCAAUGGCCGGGUUCCUUUUGGAAUCACGAAACGUGCUCAGGAUGCUGGCAUAAUGGCUUCAAUCGACCCGUCUUGAAACACGGACCAAGGAGUCUAACAUGCCCGCGAGUGUUUGGGUGGAAAACCCGAGCGCGCAAUGAAAGUGAACAGUUGAGACCUCUGUCGUGGAGGGCAUCGACGCCCGGACCAGAGCUUUUGUGAUGGAUCCGCGGUGGAGCGUGCAUGUUGGGACCCGAAAGAUGGUGAACUAUGCCUGAACAGGGUGAAGCCAGAGGAAACUCUGGUGGAGGCUCGUAGCGAUUCUGACGUGCAAAUCGAUCGUCGAAUUUGGGU
rnacentral:rRNA from 1 species